GCCAGACUCCUACGGGAGGCAGCAGUGGGGAAUAUUGCACAAUGGGGGAAACCCUGAUGCAGCGACGCCGCGUGAGUGAAGAAGUAUUUCGGUAUGUAAAGCUCUCUCAGCAGGGAAGAUAAUGACGGUACCUGACUAAGAAGCCCCGGCUAACUACGUGCCAGCAGCCGCGGUAAUACGUAGGGGGCAAGCGUUAUCCGGAUUUACUGGGUGUAAAGGGUGCGCAGGUGGCAGGGCAAGUCAGAUGUGAAAGCCCGGGGCUCAACCCCGGUAUUGCAUUUGAAACUGUCCGGCUAGAGUGCAGGAGAGGUAAGCGGAAUUCCUAGUGUAGCGGUGAAAUGCGUAGAUAUUAGGAGGAACACCAGUGGCGAAGGCGGCUUACUGGACUGUAACUGACACUGAGGCACGAAAGCGUGGGGAGCAAACAGGAUUAGAUACCCUUGUAAUA
rnacentral:rRNA from 1 species